UCCACUUUCUGCAGAUAACAUCACUUUUUACAUUUUGCACUACAAGGUCUGAGGAUGCUUUGUACUUCUCAAUUCCUCGAGAAUGUAUCUUCCAACAGAGGAGAGGAGCAAUAAAAGUCCCAAAGCUCUGGCAUACUUUGGCGUCCCUCACACUUCCCUUUGAACUGAUGGGCCUGGAAUGCUGAAUCGCUGGUUGCACCACUGCGGAAUGACAUGGGAGCCCUGAAUGAAGCAGUGUUUUCACCAAGGAAUAUCAGAGCAAUGUGCAAAUCAGUCGAGAGCCUUGCUGCUGUCAAACACAAUGAACAAUUGCUGAACUCUCCCUUCUCCCUCAGUGGGAGAAUUAAUAAGGAUUCCUUCCUCUCCUUAGAUGCUAAUUCUUGCAAAACUGGUAAGGACAACUGGCUGAAGAGAAACUGCCUGAUGAAACAGCUGGUGACUAAGUCUCACCUACGAAGCCCAGGACUCCAAGCAAGCUCUUUUUCAACCCACUGAAGAGCCCAGAUUUCAGUCUGACAAAAAUAAUGUUGAAAACAUUAUGUCAAAUGUCUGCUCCAAAUCCCA